rnacentral:lncRNA from 1 species
ACCAAGCAGCACCGCCAUCUGCUCAGAGGUAACUUUCCUGCAAACCCACCCAGCAUAGAGAACAAUGGAAAUAGAAGCGGUUGCUGGGCUGUUUUUUCCUAGACAAGACAGUGAUUCUUAGUACUGCCAAAAGAGAGGCUGCCUUGCAGCAAAUUGCUGUGGCCUCAAGUGCCCCCCUUCAUCUAGAUAUCAGGAAACAUCAGGAGCCUGUGGGGGAACUUGAAAAGAUGGAAGUAGCCACAAUUGAUCCUUCUUCAGGAGGGGAGGUGUCUUCUAAGAAUUCCACAUCGGUAAGGGGGAAACGCAGAAAACACCCAUAGUGGCUUAAUGUCUCAUUAUAAACAUCUCACAAGAGGCCACAGUUUUAUACACGAAUUCUGCAUUUUGCCAGAAGUUGAAGAUCUUUCUAAUACUCUGUACUCAAGAGGAAGGCAGAGCUUUCUAUGUGGAGUGACUGAAACAAUUUCGUCCAAAUGUUUGUUGCCACGGGCAAAAUAUCUAAAGAUUGUUCACUUGAAAAUUAUGACUCUUUUUCAGAAUUUUACAUCGUGUUAUUUGUUUUAUGGACUAUUCAGUAUGCAUUGCACCAACACUAAUUACUGCACUAAUAAGUCAGCGUGCUACCAAGAUGUUUUGCCAUUAUAAUUACAGCCACAUGUUGUUGUCCUUCCUCAAAUAGUCCAGGCUUAAUUGCAUCAUUUUUCAGGAGAAUUUAUGUGGUACAGCUUAAUUCAAAAUUACUACAUGAAUAAAUGAAGUGUAAACUAUUUUUUGUACUGACUCACAUACAGAAUAAAUGUUCUAG